rnacentral:rRNA from 1 species
CUAGCCGUAAACGAUACUCGCUAGGUGUCGGCCACGGUGCGACCGUUGUCGGUGCCGUAGGGAAGCCGUGAAGCGAGCCACCUGGGAAGUACGGCCGCAAGGCUGAAACUUAAAGGAAUU